rnacentral:rRNA from 1 species
CCUACGGGAGGCAGCAGUGAGGAAUAUUGGUCAAUGGGCGAGAGCCUGAACCAGCCAAGCCGCGUGAGGGAAGACGGCCCUAUGGGUUGUAAACCUCUUUUGUCGGAGAACAAAACCCGGGACGUGUCCCGGACUGCGUGUAUCCGAAGAAAAAGCAUCGGCUAACUCCGUGCCAGCAGCCGCGGUAAUACGGAGGAUGCGAGCGUUAUCCGGAUUUAUUGGGUUUAAAGGGUGCGCAGGGGGUCCGGUAAGUCAGCGGGAAAAUCGCGGGGCUCAACCCCGUCGCGCCGUUGAAACUGGCAGACUUGAGUUGGCGAGAAGUAGGCGGAAUGCGCGGUGUAGCGGUGAAAUGCAUAGAUAUCGCGCAGAACUCCGAUUGCGAAGGCAGCGUACCGGCGCCAGACUGACGCUGAGGCACGAAAGCGUGGGGAUCGAACAGGAUUAGAUACCCGAGUAGUC